rnacentral:tRNA from 1 species
GAAGAUAUAGCUCAGUGGUAGAGCGCAAUGCUUAGCAUCCAUGAGGUCCUGGGUUCAAUCCCCAAUAACUCCA